AUGUGCCAUCCCUUGGCUGCUGGUUCAAUCAUUAACGUGGGGUGUGGGGUGGAGAGAAUCCAACCCCCAUCACAAAUCCCAGCGGCUGUGGCUUUGCUAUUGCACGUAUAUUCCCGGAACCACGCCCUGGUGUUUGGAAUUGGACCAAUUGUUGGUGGUGUGAUGGGCAGCUUCUUGAAUGACUUCAUCCUCUUCCCCCGGAUGUGCAGUGUCAGAGCGCUUGUUUGUCUUCAGAGGUGAUUGGCCAGCUGAAACUAUUGCACCCCCAGAGCCUCCUGGGGAACCUGUCAAGCUUACUGAAGGACAGGUGAGUUGCUCAGACGACAUUCCGAGGUUGAAGAUGAUUCCCAUUUGGAGCAUACUGCAACUCAAAAAAACUUAACUCAUCAGUUAGACCAAUCCAGCCAUAACAUCCAACACAGACAGAUCGAACUCCAAACUCCAGCAACCAAUCCAUUAGUAAUUCCCCAUCAUCAAUUUGGGGAGCAAAUGUUGUCAUGUAUCCACCAUAUAGAGUGCAUUGAAACUGGCUGCAAACACACCGAUUGCUUCAAAAGACUGAUGGGAGUUGGAAUCCAAGAACAGCUGGAGGGCACCACAUUGGCUCUAGACAGCAGCAUUAUGCUUUAGAUUUCCUACAGGCACUGGCAAGCACGUGUUAUGGUUAGAGUGUCGCACUCUGACCCGGGAGACCAGGGUUUGAAACCCUACUCAGCCAUGAAGCCCACUGGAUGACCUCCCUCUCUCUCAGCCUAACUUACUUCACAGGGUUGUUGUGAGGAUAAAAUGGAGAGGGAGGAAACAUGCUUACUACUUAGAGCUCCUUGGAGGAAAGGUGGGAUAUAAAUGUAAUAAAUAAUAACAAUGUACAUAACAGACAGAGUACAUGUAUGUGGUACAUCCAAUGGAAUAAAGUUGGGAAAGUUUUAA